UGAUGUGUAGGAUAGGUGGGAGGCUUUGAAGUGUGGACGCCAGUCUGCAUGGAGCCGACCUUGAAAUACCACCCUUUAAUGUUUGAUGUUCUAACGUGGGCCCCUUACCGGGGUUGCGGACAGUGUCUGGUGGGUAGUUUGACUGGGGCGGUCUCCUCCUAAAGAGUAACGGAGGAGCACGAAGGUUGGCUAAUCCUGGUCGGACAUCAGGAGGUUAGUGCAAUGGCAUAAGCCAGCUUGACUGCGAGCGUGACGGCGCGAGCAGGUGCGAAAGCAGGUCAUAGUGAUCCGGUGGUUCUGAAUGGAAGGGCCAUCGCUCAACGGAUAAAAGGUACUCCGGGGAUAACAGGCUGAUACCGCCCAAGAGUUCAUAUCGACGGCGGUGUUUGGCACCUCGAUGUCGGCUCAUCACAUCCUGGGGCUGAAGUAGGUCCCAAGGGUAUGGCUGUUCGCCAUUUAAAGUGGUACGCGAGCUGGGUUUAGAACGUCGUGAGACAGUUCGGUCCCUAUCUGCCGUGGGCGCUGGAGAACUGAGGGGGGCUGCUCCUAGUACGAGAGGACCGGAGUGGACGCAUCACUGGUGUUCGGGUUGUCAUGCCAAUGGCACUGCCCGGUAGCUAAAUGCGGAAGAGAUAAGUGCUGAAAGCAUCUAAGCACGAAACUUGCCCCGAGAUGAGUUCUCCCUGACUCCUUGAGAGUCCUGAAGGAACGUUGAAGACGACGACGUUGAUAGGCCGGGUGUGUAAGCGCAGCGAUGCGUUGAGCUAACCGGUACUAAUGAACCGUGAGGCUUAACCUUACAACGCCGAAG
rnacentral:rRNA from 1 species